GCUUUUCCUUGGACAUGUAAAAUAAAGAGCCACGGCACUCAGAUUAAAAACUGCAGGCAUUCUGGUAUGAAAAUUUGAACAUGGCAUACAAUGGACACAAAGACAAUGCAAAGUGUUGUCUUGCCAAUAUCAUCGCUGAGAUAGGAAAAGGAUGACCUUUUAUUAUGUAUUUCGAAACCUGUAUCUGCUUCCCUCCAUCUUGCGUUGUGCUUUCAAGAAAGAAAUCAGAAUUUUUCUCAUCUUUGAAUGAGGUCUGGUCAGUCUUGCAACAUUUCCAGAUCAAAGUUGACAGAAACCAUGCACAGGAACACAUCUGCUUUGUUAACUGAAGUAUAUUUGCAUUAUGCUCCUGCAACACAUUCCCAGAUGUUCAUUAUCUCUGGGAUCUGAGCAUCGUUCCCCACCACCACCACAGCUGGCCAACCUCUGGACUCAAUUGCACAGCGUUACCCUGGGCGUAUUUGCAGAUGAAGUUGUUCUUCAUGUUGCAUCUGUCGUCGUUCCACUGAAACAUGUAAGGGCCCCCAUCGCCAGCAGGUGCUGAAGGCUGGUGAUACAUCACGACACAGAUUUCGCUGCCGCAGGAGGGCUCAUCGGCAUACCAGUUUCUGCCAAAACAAAGCAAACCAUCAGGCUCCUGCCUUGGUGAAUACAGACUUACCGAAAGGUGGACAAACUCCCGUCG